GGGGGGGGGGGGGGGGGGUACGGGUAUAUGAAUUUCCCAGCGGAAGACACAAGCGUGGUUGUCUGACAUUAUUAUUUUUGGACCAAUUUACUAAAUCAGAAAAAAGAAGUUCUAUUGUACUGAAAUAUACUACGAAACCACUCGAUGGCAGUCCCAACCUCAUUAAAGCACGUAUCAGCUGCAUCCUUGCCAUCAACCUCUCUCUCUCUCGUUGUUAGUAAUUAGCUAUUGUUCUAAACUGUACAAAUUUUGAUACAGGAAAUUUCCAUAAUCUUUCUGUAUGUCAUAUUUCAAUAUGUAGCUUUUUAAGUUACUAUCAUUAGCUGUCUAAAUUUCUUUUCAGCUAGGGUGAACUGAAAUGGUUCACUACAAAUGUUAGUUCCUUAUUGUGUGUUUGUUUGGAAUAUUGUAUAAAUUGUGUUCUAACUUCACUGGGGCUCGUGUAUGAAAUUCAUCUGAAAAUCAUGUUUUGAUGCUUUAAAUUAACAUUUGCAAGGACUGUUCAGUUUGCACUGAUCCAAAAAAUAGGUAAAACUUUCAUUUCAAGAGGUAAAUUUUGCAAUCUAUUAUUGAAAAUAUUUUUGACUUUGAUAAAAUUGAGGAUUUUCCUGAAGUUAGCCUUGCCAGCCAAAAAUGGCUCCUGAAAUUUGGGGGUGAAGUUAGAUCACUUGUUCUGUUACACUCUCGAAUGGCUCGUUCGAAAAUUUUUAUACUUUGGGAUUUUGUAAAAAUCUUCUGAGGGUUAUUUGGGUCCUACGGCAUUAACCUCAGGCAAAAUCAUAUUCUGUUUCCAAAUGAAAAAAUUCAUGAAACAUUUUUUUUACUCUCGAUUGAAACAACAACAAUUCUGGAUGCAAGAAACUAGGAUAUAAUACAUGUGGUGAAUGUUAAAAUACUUUUCAAAUAAAGAUUUAAUUUUUUUUAAAUCUUUACGAACUUUCAAAUACUCUAAUCUUUCUAAUCAAUUCGUUGCCUGCUCUGUAUUGAAUCAUAGCAGUAUUUCUUUGCCUCAAAGUAUCUGAGGUCAUUUCAUUCUCUCUCAGGAGAAAUAUCAUCCAAAUUAAAAUGUAAAGAAAAGUAACAGAGAUUUUUAGGUAAUACUGGAUACUUUUUUCAUACUCGCUAAUGCUGUGCAGGUGACCUAUUUGGCCCACGAAUGCUCAUAUAUUUUUACUCCAAAGUUAACCUAAUGUUUUAAUCUUAAAAUUCUCAACUGUCGACCAUUGAAAAAGUGCUGCCAGUACAGGCAUUCUGUACCUGUUUUUCAUUUCAAAGAAUCCUCUGAGCCCAUGUAUAUAUGUACUUGUAUUUUUAACUAUUGUAUUGUAGUUCCAAGUCUUUAGAAAUUGAUUUUUGACUCACACCAGCAACAAACUUUCCUGAAGUAUGGUGCCUCUUACAAGUGAAUAUCAGUUUGUUUCUCAGUUUCAUACAAAUUACUGUAAAGUUGUACAUACUGACUGCCACUUCUAUUGAGAAAACAUAAACCUGAUCGAUCGUAUAAUUGCUGGGCCGUGAAGUCUAUUGAAGAUUUAUUUGUUAUUUGUGCAUCUACCACGUUUUUUAUAAUUCUAGAAAUAUUGAAAAUUAAGUAAGAAGAAGAGCUGAAUGUUUAAUAUUAUCUCCCUCCCAUAAGGUGGCGUUCAGUUUUUAUGAAAUAGACUAUUGCCUGUUUUUUUAACCCCUCCCAUCUCCUCGUUCAGUACAUGUCAUGUAAAGGACCCCCAUAAUAACUUGUGAUGCUGAAUAGACCUUACAUCCUAUUACAUCAAAAUUUAUCCUGCAAGUAUUUGUUCCCUCCCAAAAGAUCGGGUAAUUUUUUAAAAUUGGAUCAUUGUUUCACGCCCUUCUUCUAAUAUCACAGACUAAGGCCCUGUGGUGUCCUAAGUACAUAUAAUAAUACUCGAACGCCCCCAUUUCCAUAUCCUGAAACUUUUACUAUCAAUGUAUAUAGGAAACUAUGCAUGUAUUUAGAUAUUUCUAUUUCUGGAGAAUUUUAUUAGACUUUCACUUGGUAACUUCUCCAUUUUUAGGAUAAAUGUUAUUUUUUUAAUGGUUUUGUACAAAAAGUAACUGUACUGUAAUAUUCAUAAUUACCUUUCUUGUUAGACUGAUAAAUGAGGAUAAAAGGAAGUAAUGCGCCACAAAUUCUGUGCAAUGCCAAUGUUAAUCUUGACUUAUUCUCAAGUAUUUUAAAAAAAUCAAGCAAUUACUAGAAUGUGAAGACUAAAUCAUUAAAAACUGUCAAGGCUGUUUUGGGCACUAUUAUUUUUUUUAGCUUUAAAGCAAGCUACAGUAAUUCAGACUUUUCACUUGUGCUUUCGUAAUCAUGAGAAGACAAAUUUUUACAAAUUUUUGAUAAAUCAUCAUUGUAUCGCAGGAAAAGGGGGAAAAGAUAGCUUGUAUUUGUUUUUGUGCGUAGAUCCUUGAUUUUGAUUUUAUUGUGAUGCAUCGUGUACUCUUUUCUCUUUUAUUUGUCUAAAAGAGGAUAAAAAGACUUUGAGUAGUCAUAACUUUUCAGAGCAACCUAAUCGCAGGUUAAUGUUUUUUUAUUCAUGAUUCUGAGCAAUGAUGUCUAAUAGUGUUCAAAUGUUUUUACUUUUUAAUCAUGGUAAAAAGCCUGUUUUCUCCUCCCUGAGACGCUCUUUCAUUGAACGAUGCCAUCAAAUGGAAGACCACAGCCUAUCCUGUUUCCUACUAGACAACAGCGUUUACAAGCUAUUAAAAAUGAUGAAUGCAAGGCCUUUUCCACACAAGCAAAGAUUUGUAUGACUUUAUCAGAACAAAUUAGCAAACUUUCAGCUGCGCAUUAUUUUUCACCUCUUUCUUGCGUGUAAACGGAAUAAGUUAUAUUUCAGCUACAUCUAAUUCCACCAAAGUUAUAGGAACUCUCUGCAUGUUGACGAGGCCUGUAAAACCUAACUGCUGUCUUUAAAUCUCAAACAAAAAAAGUAAUCAUAUUUACUUUUAGUAUUGUGUGAAGUUAAGUGAAUAUUCAAUACCAUUUUAUAUGAGUAAUACAAUCUCUCUCUCCCUUUUUGAGACCCAUACAUUUUGAAGAUAAGUUGAAUUUCUUUAUGUCACAGAUCUGAGUGUAGGAAACCAUGAUCUACGGUUAUUCAUAUCUUUAAAAUAUUUAUUUACCUAAAAUUUUUUAAAUUCUCCAUAAUUAUUAAACCAUGGGCGAGAGAACAUUCAAGAAUUCCGCCCAAACUGUAAUACUAGAAAUCGAAGCUUUGAUCAUGGCAUUAUGUCGUUAAAUAACCUGGUGAAAAUAAUGGCUGUUGGAAGGUAAUUUGUGAACUGAUGACUAUAAAGUCUACUGCCCAACUAAUCUCUCCCAGCCAAAUGAAAUUCAGUUACCUAUUUGCAGAAUAGCUCUGCCGAAAAUUCAAAGACUGAGUUAGAGAAAGUAAGGAAUUCAUUGCAAAGUUUUUGUAUGCAUUGUUCUGAAUUGGCCUCGUGUUCUCUGCAAAAUUUCAGGAGGAAAACAAUUGCACAACAGGAAGUCUGAAAAUCACCUCUCAAACAAGAUAUUAGUGUUUACAAUUAGCGCUGGUUAAAGCACAAAUUAUGUCAUCGGUUUAAUCUAAUUUUUAUUUGAUCUGUGUUGAAAAUAUUUGUAAAUAUCGCAUUCAGAGGUUGAUUUUUGAACUCCCCAUUGUGUAAAUCGUUUUUUACGGAAAAUUUUGAAGAGAAAUCAUGAGACGGUUUUGUGUUUGGACCAUGUCUAGUGGUCCUUGAAGAAGCCAAAGUAAUAAGGAGCUUCUUCACUGUUUUUAAAUUUUGAAACGGCUUGAACAAGCCAUGAGUGUGCUUCUCAUUUAAGUCAAAAAAAAGCUAUCUAACUCGUAGAUAGUAGACUCCGUAUAUCUCUGGUAGUAAGUAAAUGAAUGUAAUUAAAACAACUUGUAAAGACCCUGAUUUCUCUCUAGCAUAUUUUUUUUUAACAAAUCUCUUCUGAUGUGCGAUCCUUUCUCCUUGAGUUGCUUACUUUGCUGAAAGCACAAUCUUUCAAUAGCUGGACUCUUUUUUGAAGUUAACAUUCUCCUCUAUCAGUAAUAAUCGGUGAAUAAUUCAGUAAUUUACUUUAUUUAUGUCUUAUAAUUUCCUUAUAGUGUAUCAUUUUAUUUUUAAAUCGACUUCAUCACUUUAAUUUCAUUAUGCAAGAGACAUCUGUUAAUUGUUUCAUAACUUUUGAAUGAAUAAUCUGUAGGGACAAUUUUCCUUCUUUCUUAUUUUUUUUUAUUUUUAAAUUAUUUUUUAUGAUGAAAACUCGUCAAUUGUCAGACGAGGGAAUGUAACUCAAUUCCAAGGUUGCAAAAUUGACACUAAAAAUUUAAUUCCUUCAGGGAUAUGAAUGUCCCUUAUCUAUUCAAAUGCGGAUUUUUACAAUCAUCAGGAGAUAAAUCAAUGGAAUUUUCAGGAAGAGACCUCCCUAGGAAAAAUAGAAUUUUUGAGUUGAAAUUUUGCAGAAUUCGUAAGUAGUUACGUGCCUUCGUACGGAAAAUGACGAACUAUGCGUUUUCUUGUGAGAAGUCUGAUAAGAAUAAAGUAGCUAAUGGAAGACUGAUUUUUAUUGGAUACGGUAUAUUUUAUUAAAAUUGUACUGAGAUAUUGUAUCGUGGGAGUGAGUUAAUGGCAUUGAAUGUUGUGUAUGAUGUGCAGAAGUUGUCUGAAAUGAUGUUUCUAAUUAUUUUCUUGGCUUUUUAAGUUACUUGUUAUAAUUUUAUCCUUUAAAUUUUAAUGUAAAAUUCUAAAACCGUCAUUAUUUAACGCCAUCACGUUACUUUUAACAGCAUAUUUUGCUGCAGUUUUUUAUUCCUUGUAACUACACCCACUGUUAUCAUUGUUUUGAAUAAGAACUCCAUCACCCAGUUAGCUGAAUUGUAUCAUUAGAAAAUCUAUAAGUACGUAAGUGUACCUAUCGAAGUAACUUUUAAAUAAUUUAUGAGAUUGUAUUUGUACCUAUGGUAUGCGUGUGAAAUAAAUAGAAAGAAAAUAUGGACAACA